AGCCCUAAGUGGGUGGUAAACUCCAUCUAAGGCUAAAUAUAACCACGAGACCGAUAGCGAACAAGUACCGUGAGGGAAAGUUGAAAAGCACUUUGAAGAGAGAGUUCAAGAGUACGUGAAACCGUUUAGGGGUAAACCUGAGAAACCCGAAAGGUCGAAGGAAGAAAUUCAUUCGCGUUUCGUUGCAGGCGUCGAGCGGGAUUCUGUGUGACGGGGAGCGUUCGCGUUUUUCCGCACCUCCCGUUCUUCGAACCGGCGACGAACGCGUGCACUUUUCUUCUGGUAGGACGUCGCGAUCCGUUGGGUGUCGGUCUACGGCUCGCGGUGGAGCCCGUUCGUCGUAUUUUUCGUACGUACGGACGGACCCGCGUGUCCCGGCUGACUAGCUCGACGGUAUACGAAAGGUUUAAGGCCGCUCUCGCAGCGUUCGGCUCGUGGCAAGCGCGCCAGAUGUGUCGGCGAUCGGACCUAGUGCCGAUUCUGACCUCUGGUGACUGUUGGCCGCGAAGUUCUCGAACAGACCUUCAAACCGAUCGGCGACGCUAUAGCUUUGGGUACUUUCAG
rnacentral:rRNA from 1 species